rnacentral:rRNA from 1 species
UACGUAGGGUGCGAGCGUUGUCCGGAAUUACUGGGCGUAAAGAGCUCGUAGGUGGUUUGUCGCGUUGUCCGUGAAAACUCACAGCUUAACUGUGGGCGUGCGGGCGAUACGGGCAGACUGGAGUACUGCAGGGGAGACUGGAAUUCCUGGUGUAGCGGUGGAAUGCGCAGAUAUCAGGAGGAACACCGGUGGCGAAGGCGGGACUCUG